rnacentral:rRNA from 1 species
GCGCCCAAGGCCAUCAGGCCAAGGGCACGCCUGCCUGGGCAUUGCGAGUCAUAUCUCUCCCUUAACGAGGCUGUCCAGGCAUACUGUUCAGCCGGUGCGGGUGUGAGUUUGGCCCCUUGUUCUUUGGUGCUGGGGGUCUAAGAGCUGCAGGGGCUUUUGAUGGUCCUAAA